rnacentral:rRNA from 1 species
GACGAACGCUGGCGGCGUGCUUAACACAUGCAAGUCGAACGAAGUGGCGAACGGGUGAGUACCGCGUAAUCAACCUGCCCUUCAGAGGGGGAUAACAGUUGGAAACGACUGCUAAUACCGCAUACUUACGGAGGGGAUUGCGUCUGAUUCGCUCGUUGGAGGGGUAACGGCCCACCAAGGCGAAGAUCAGUAGACGGUCGGAGAGGAUGAACGGACAAAUUGGGAAUGAGACAAGGACCAGACUCCUACGGGAGGGAGCAGGGGGGAAUCGUCCGCAAUGGACGAAAGUCGGACGGAGCAACGCCGCGUGAGUGAUGACGGCCUUCGGGUUGGAAAGCUCUGUUAAUCGGGACGCGGUACCGGAAUAGAAAGCCACGGCUAACUACGUGCCAGCAGCCGCGGUAAUAC